UACGUAGGGUGCGAGCGUUAAUCGGAAUUACUGGGCGUAAAGCGUGCGCAGGCGGCGGCUCAAGUCAGGUGUGAAGUCCCCGGGCUUAACCUGGGAAUUGCGCUUGAAACUAGGCUGCUUGAGUGUGGCAGAGGGGGGUGGAAUUCCACGUGUAGCAGUGAAAUGCGCAGAUAUCUGGAGGAACACCGGUGGCGAAGGCGGCGUUCUGGACUGCAACUGACACUGAGGAACGAAAGCCAGGGGAGCAAACGGG
rnacentral:rRNA from 1 species